AACGAACGCUGGCGGCAGGCUUAACACAUGCAAGUCGAACGCAUCCUUCGGGGUGAGUGGCAGACGGGUGAGUAACGCGUGGGAACGUGCCCUUCAGUUCGGGAUAACCCAGGGAAACUCGGGCUAAUACCGGAUACGUGCGAGAGCAGAAAGAUUUAUCGCUGAAGGAUCGGCCCGCGUCUGUUUAGCUAGUUGGUGGGGUAAUGGCCCACCAAGGCGACGAUCAGUAGAUGGUCUGAGAGGAUGAUCAGCCACAUUGGGACUGAGACACGGCCCAAGCUCCUACGGGUGGCAGCAGUGGGGAAUAUUGGACAAUGGGCGCAAGCCUGAUCCAGCCAUGCCGCGUGAGGGAUGAAGGCCUUAGGGUUGUAAAGCUCUUUCGUCCGGGACGAUAAUGACGGUACCGGAAGAAGAAGCCCCGGCUAACUUCGUGCCAGCAGCCGCCGUAAUAC
rnacentral:rRNA from 1 species